GCAAAUUGGAUUGAAACAUGCAAAUAAUAAGAUGUCGGCAACUUUUAAAUUUCUUUUUUCUAAUUCACUGUAGAAAUAUUUUAAAAAAAAUUGUAAUUUUUUUUUAUAAACCUAUUUAUUUUUUAUUUAUUUUUGUGUCACCAAUUGUUUAGAAUUGAAAUAUGUGGAGAAAAAAAGAAGAUGACAAUUGUCACUGCUCCAAAAAUACCAUAUCCUAAAGGGAGAAUUACUUAGAUAGACCACAAUUGUAUGUUUAUUCCUUAAACAACCAAAUCUUUUUUUUAUUCCUUAAAUGUCUUUCAAAAUGGGUGUAAUUACAAUUAACACCCUUGGUCUGUUUUCUCUUAAAAUUGCCACAUCAGAUCCGAAACUGCCACAUCAGAUCCGAAAUUGCCACAUCAUCAUCGACAGUUAUUCUUUCAUUAAUUACAAAAGAGAAACUGAACAGUUUCUUUCUCUUCACUGUUCACAAUUGAAAAAAAAAAAAAAAAAGUUUCUCUCUCGCGACAGAGAAAUUCCUCGCCGCCGACGACGAAGACAAUACUCGCCUUCUACACAGUACUCGCCGCCGACGCUCUCUCUGUUUCGGUCUUCAAACUCGCCUUUAGUCGCUGUGAAGAGAAGAAGUCGCCGUGAGUUCGUCGUAGUUUCUUUGCUGCAUUCGAGACCUUUCAUAUUCCGGUAAGUGUCGAACUGUAUUUCCGACUAUACUCGUGUUUGUUUUUGCUUAUUAUGGUUGAUUGUCGCCG
rnacentral:lncRNA from 1 species